rnacentral:rRNA from 1 species
UGGGGAAUUGUUCACAAUGGGCGCAAGCCUGAUGACGCAACGCCGCGUGGAGGAUGAAGGUCUUCGGAUUGUAAACUCCUGUUGCUCGGGACGAAAUGCUCCAACCUAAUACGUUGGAGUUUGACGGUACCGAGUGAGGAAGCCCCGGCUAACUCUGUGCCAGCAGCCGCGGUAAUACAGAGGGGGCAAGCGUUGUUCGGAAUUACUGGGCGUAAAGGGCGCGUAGGCGGCCUGUUAAGUCGAACGUGAAAUCCCCGGGCUCAACCCGGGAACUGCGUCCGAAACUGGCAGGCUCGAAUUCGGGAGAGGGAUGCGGAAUUCCAGGUGUAGCGGUGAAAUGCGUAGAUAUCUGGAGGAACAUCGGUGGCGAAGGCGGCAUCCUGGACCGAUAUUGACGCUGAGGCGCGAAAGCCAGGGGAGCAAACGG